GCCUUUGUGGUGUAACGGUAGCACGCUCGACGCUUAUUUGAGAGGUCCAGGUUCGAGUCUCGGUAAGAGCA
rnacentral:tRNA from 1 species